rnacentral:rRNA from 1 species
GGAGUGUCACUGACGCUGAAGCUCGAAAGUGCGGGUAUCGAACAGGAUUAGAUACCCUGGUAGUCCGCACGGUAAACGAUGGAUGCCCGCUAUUCGCUCGAAUGAGUGAGUGGCCAAGCGAAAGCAUUAAGCAUCCCACCUGGGGAGUACGCCGGCAACGGUGAAACUCAAAGGAAUUGACGGGGGCCCGCACAAGCGGAGGAACAUGUGGUUUAAUUCGAUGAUACGCGAGGAACCUUACCCGGGCUUGAAUUGCAGAUGAACGAUCCAGAGAUGGUGAGGCCCUUCGGGGCAUCUGUGAAGGUGCUGCAUGGUUGUCGUCAGCUCGUGCCGUGAGGUGUCGGCUUAAGUGCCAUAACGAGCGCAACCCCUGUUCUUAGUUGCCAUCAGGUAAUGCUGGGCACUCUGGGAAUACUGCCACCGUAAGGUGUGAGGAAGGUGGGGAUGACGUCAAAUCAGCACGGCCCUUACGUCCGGGGCUACACACGUGUUACAAUGGCCGGUACAGAGAGUUGGUCGUGCGCAAGUACGGUCUAAUCCAUAAAACCGGUCUCAGUUCGGACUGGGGUCUGCAACCCGACCCCACGAAGCUGGAUUCGCU